GGGAAUAUUGCACAAUGGGGGAAACCCUGAUGCAGCAACGCCGCGUGAAGGAAGACGGUUUUCGGAUUGUAAACUUCUGUUCUUCGUGAAGAAAAAUGACGGUACCUGAAUAAGAAGCCCCGGCUAACUACGUGCCAGCAGCCGCGGUAAUACGUAGGGGGCAAGCGUUAUCCGGAUUUACUGGGUGUAAAGGGAGCGUAGACGGUUAUGCAAGUCUGGAGUGAAAGCCCGGGGCUCAACCCCGGGACUGCUUUGGAAACUGUAAAACGGGAGUGCAGGAGAGGCAGGCGGAAUUCCUAGUGUAGCGGUGAAAUGCGUAGAUAUUAGGAGGAACACCAGUGGCGAAGGCGGCCUGCUGGACUGUAACUGACGUUGAGGCUCGAAGGCGUGGGGAGCAAACAGG
rnacentral:rRNA from 1 species